rnacentral:rRNA from 1 species
AACGAACGCUGGCGGCAGGCCUAACACAUGCAAGUCGAGCGAAGCCUUCGGGCUUAGCGGCGGACGGGUGAGUAACGCGUGGGAACGUGCCCUUUGGUACGGAAUAGCCCCGGGAAACUGGGAGUAAUACCGUAUGUGGUCGAGAGACGAAAGAUUUAUCGCCAAAGGAUCGGCCCGCGUUGGAUUAGGUAGUUGGUGGGGUGAUGGCCUACCAAGCCGACGAUCCAUAGCUGGUUUGAGAGGAUGAUCAGCCACACUGGGACUGAGACACGGCCCAGACUCCUACNNNNGGCAGCAGUGGGGAAUCUUAGACACUGGGGGAAACCCUGAUCUAGCCAUGCCGCGUGAUCGAUGAAGGCCUUAGGGUUGUAAACUGCUUUUAUGUGNGAAGAAUUUGACUGUAACACAUGAAUAAGGAUCGGCUAACUACGUGCCAGCCGCCGCCGUAA